rnacentral:lncRNA from 1 species
AGGUCAGGAAUUUGAGACCAGCCUGGCCAGCAUGGUGAAACCCCAUUAGCCAGGCAUGGUGGCGCACACCUGUAAUCCCAGUUACUUAGGAGGCUGAGGCAAGAGAAUUGCUUGAACCCAGCAGGAGGAGGUUGCAGUGAGCUGAGAUUGCACUACUGCACUCCCACCUGGGUGCAAGUGCAGCAAGACUUUGUCUCAAAAAAACAAAUAAAUAAAAAUAAAAUAACAGGAGAAAAGCACACAAAUAUAUUUCAUAUAAAUUGUAGGUGACAUGAGAGCCUUUGGAAAUGAAGACCCAAAGAAAUGAAGACAUCUGUAUAUUUGUAAGGUAAGUUUGAUGAAGAGUGGACAGUUGUGUAGAAGUGUGGUCAAAGGGGGUGUGAUGUGAUGGUAAUAAAUUGGGGGGACUUAGUAAGGUCUGUUUGUUCAGAUUCUUCUCUGUGUCCCUGUAUCUUCAUAUAUAAGGAUAUUUCUUUCCUUUGGGCAUAGGGAUAAUAUCUUUGGAAUGAGAGUCUUAUGACCUACCUUAUAGGAAGUUCAGGGAAUUCUUUUAUAACUGGCUUCAAGCGAGAAGGGCCCAGAGAAGAUGAGAGUGACCUUCCUGCUUCUACCACUUCUUCAAAGCACAAGUUCGUCCUAGUAUAGAUGCAUCAUCAAAUUAAGGUUGCAAUUGCCAGAAGAUCUCAAUUGCAGGGGAUUCUGCGACUCAUCAUUAUUCCAGCACACAGUCAUCUGCAGGGUGCUAAGGAUACAAUGAUCCUGGAACAUGAUGCGAAAAAUCAGGAACUUGCAGCUGAACCAGGGCAGCCAUUGAGAAGCGGCCAUCCUCCCAUUUCUGCCCCUUUCCUCGGAAAAGCCCAAGAGAAGUGUUUCAAGUGGUGA